AUGCCAUAUGUUGGAGCCACGGAUGACACGACCCAAAAUACAGUAGAUAUGUCAGCAGCACAAGGAAACCAAGCCUCUGAUUUAUAUAUAGAUGACAACGAGGAUAACCCAGAUGAGGAUUUUGGUGACGAUGAGGUCAAUGAAACACAGUCCAGAAAAUUUGUUGGUGCAAGGGAGUACUACUGCUUCAAGCUGCAGGUCAGGAAGAAGCUUUUUAACAUCAUCUUGUUUCGGGGUCGCCUUUUCCAACAGUGGGCUAUUGACAUGUAUAUCAAGAUUGAGACUAUGCGGCUUGACUGGUACUCAAAGCCGGAAAAUCAGAAGGUUAUACGCGCUGACCUCUACCAGGGUCUUGUUGACACCGUCGUUGCCGGCGAGUCGUGCGGUGAUUGA
rnacentral:rRNA from 1 species